AAUCAACGCUGGCGGCGUGCCUCAGACAUGCAAGUCGAACGCGAAAGUUUCCUUCGGGGAACAAGUAGAGUGGCGCACGGGUGAGUAACACGUAGGUAAUCUACCUUUGGAUGGGGAAUAACAACCGGAAACGGUUGCUAAUACCGCAUAAUGCAGCGGCACCUAAUGGUGACAGUUGUUAAAGCGGGGGAUCGAAAGACCUCGCGUCUGAAGAGGAGCCUGCGGCGGAUUAGCAGUUGGUAAGGUAAUGGCUUACCAAGGCGACGAUCCGUAACCGGCCUGAGAGGGCGGUCGGUCACACUGACACGGACAUACGGGUCAGACUCCUACGGGAGGCAGCAGUCGGGAAUUUUGGACAAUGGGGGCAACCCUGAUCCAGCCAUGCCGCGUGUGUGAAGAAGGCCU
rnacentral:rRNA from 1 species